GAUGAACGCUGGCGGCGUGCCUAAUACAUGCAAGUCGAGCGAACAGACGAGGAGCUUGCUCCUCUGACGUUAGCGGCGGACGGGUGAGUAACACGUGGAUAACCUACCUAUAAGACUGGGAUAACUUCGGGAAACCGGAGCUACCGGAUAAUAUAUUGAACCGCAUGGUUCAAUAGUGAAAGACGGUUUUGCUGUCACUUAUAGAUGGAUCCGCGCCGCAUUAGCUAGUUGGUAAGGUAACGGCUUACCAAGGCAACGAUGCGUAGCCGACCUGAGAGGGUGAUCGGCCACACUGGAACUGAGACACGGUCCAGACUCCUACGGGAGGCAGCAGUAGGGAAUCUUCCGCAAUGGGCGAAAGCCUGACGGAGCAACGCCGCGUGAGUGAUGAAGGUCUUCGGAUCGUAAAACUCUGUUAUUAGGGAAGAACAAAUGUGUAAGUAACUAUGCACGUCUUGACGGUACCUAAUCAGAAAGCCACGGCUAACUACGUG
rnacentral:rRNA from 1 species